GCGGAUGUGGCGGAAUUGGCAGACGCACUGGAUUUAGGUUCCAGCGAGGGUAACUUCGUGGGAGUUCAAGUCUCCCCAUCCGCACCA
rnacentral:tRNA from 1 species